GGGGCUGUUCUGGAUUCGACGGGAUGGUUUGGGCUUGGCAAGCACGCGAUCGGCAGAUCUGAAAAUGCACGGUUAAAUAUAACCGCAAACAACAAUUACGCUUUCGCAGCCUAAGAAGAGGUAGCGGGUCAGACGGUUCCAGCCUGCGGGCAUCGCCAGACCUCAAUUUAGCAGGAUAGCAAGGGGCAUCGCCGCCUUAGGUGCCUCAAGUGAAACUAACAGGGCUG
rnacentral:tmRNA from 1 species